UGGAGCGGACGGAGAGGGGGGUGAUUAAGGUCGGUGAUUUUGUAGAAAUUAGGAGUAAAAUAUUUGAGAGGGGUGAUUUAGGCAAUUGAUAAAUGAUUUGAGGAAAAUAAUACUAAAAUAGAAUAGAAAAAAGAGAAAAAAUUAGAAAUCCCUUAUUCUGAAAAAUAUGCAUGCCACGAUCCCAAAUUACGAAAGGUCAGCGAAAUUAAUCCCUUAUUCCGAAUUCUCUCUAUAUAUAUACAUGUUCUACCACAUCACACGUGUUCCACCAUUCAUAAAUCUUGAAAAAAAAAAUAUAGAGAAAGAACUGAGUUAGAGAAGAGAGUUUUCGGCCGUCUAAGAAGGCUAUCUCCGCAAGUUAAGGUCGGAACGAGAAAAUCAAGUUAAGGAAAUUAAACGAACGAGGUUGAGCAGUGACGGUGGAGA